GUGCCAGCCGCCGCGGUAAUACCGGCAGCCCGAGUGAUGGCCGAUCUUAUUGGGCCUAAAGCGUCCGUAGCUGGCUGCGCAAGUCCGUCGGGAAAUCCACUCGCCCAACGAGUGGGCGUCCGACGGAAACUGCACAGCUUGGGACCGGAAGGCUCGAAGGGUACGUUCGGGGUAGGAGUGAAAUCCCAUAAUCCCGCACGGACCACCGAUGGCGAAAGCACUCUGAGAAGACGGCUUCGACAGUGAGGGACGAAAGCUCGGGUCUCAAACCGGAUUAGAAACCCCGGUAGUCC
rnacentral:rRNA from 1 species